GGGGAUCAAAUGAAAUCACGAGAGGUGGCUCGGGGAGGAUCAGGGACAGAGGGGAAGCAACAUCCCCUACCACGGUGUGGCCGGCGAGGGACGACAACGUGAGAGGGGUGGUGGUGGUUGGCAUCGCUGGUUGAGGCUGGGGACUUGCGAACAGAUUCGAGAAGGAGCCCCCGGCGGCGAGAUCCACGAGCACCUGGACGGGGAAGAGUGGAUGAGCAGGUCGGCAUGGAUCUGGUGAGAGGCGCGUUGGCAAGGAGCUGACAGCUGAGAUCUAUGGUGCGUGGAU
rnacentral:lncRNA from 1 species